AGUGAACGCUGGCGGCAGGCCUAAUACAUGCAAGUCGAACGGCAGCACAGUGGCGCUUGCUCCAUGGGUGGCGAGUGGCGGACGGGUGAGGAAUACAUGGGAAUCUGCCCAGUCGUGGGGGAUAACGUAGGGAAACUUACGCUAAUACCGCAUGCGCCCUUCGGGGGAAAGCCGGGGACCUUCGGGCCUGGCGCGAUUGGAUGAGCCCAUGUUCGAUUAGCUAGUUGGCGGGGUAAAGGCCCACCAAGGCGACGAUCGAUAGCUGGUCUGAGAGGAUGAUCAGCCACACUGGGACUGAGACACGGCCCAGACUCCUACGGGAGGUAGCAGUAGGGAAUAUUGGACAAUGGGCGCAAGCCUGAUCCAGCCAUGCCGCGUGAGUGAAGAAGGCCCUCGGGUUGUAAAGCUCUUUUGUCCGGGAAGAAAAGCAUCGGGCUAAUACCUCGGUGUUCUGACGGUACCGGAAGAAUAAGCACCGGCUAACUUCGUG
rnacentral:rRNA from 1 species